CUUCCUGUGAAAUGUGAGAGGAAGUCAGCACUCAUUUCAGAAAUCUGAUUAUAACAAUAGCUCCAUCCCUAAAUGAGGUGAAUCUUGGAAUCUCUUCCAUUUUAUUUUAUUUUAUUUUUUUGAGAUGGAGUUUCUCUCUUGUUGCCCAGGCUGAAGUGCAAUGUUGAGAUCUCGGCUCACUGCAACCUCUGCCUCCCAGGUUCAAGCGAUUCUCCUGCUUUGGCCUCCUGAGUAGCUGGGAUUGCAGGUCAGUUGCUCUCCCUGGAAGGAAGAGUGUUCUCGGAUUUCCCCUUAAAGGAGGAAGGCUGCCAGAACUGAACUAGCACUUCUGAAUAUCCUGAGGCGAGGUCCGGUGACUUCCUUGGGAAGCUCUGCCGCACCCCCACCCCACCCUACCCCACCCUACCCCACCACAGCAGGCGCUGGAGUCCUGGGACCACCAGGAUCUGAGGCCCAAAUCCUUCCUCACUAAGGGGAGGAGAGGGGUGUUCCGGCAGGGCAGGAUGGGAAGGC
rnacentral:sRNA from 1 species